rnacentral:rRNA from 1 species
UAUGGGAUAAGCCUGGGAAACUGGGUCUAAUACCGGAUAUGACCUUCCAUCGCAUGGUGGUUGGUGGAAAGCUUUUGUGGUUUUGGAUGGACUCGCGGCCUAUCAGCUUGUUGGUGGGGUAAUGGCCUACCAAGGCGACUAACGGGUAGCCGGCCUGAGAGGGUGACCGGCCACACUGGGACUGAGACACGGCCCAGACUCCUACGGGAGGCAGCAGUGGGGAAUAUUGCACAAUGGGCGCAAGCCUGAUGCAGCGACGCCGCGUGAGGGAUGACGGCCUUCGGGUUGUAAACCUCUUUCAGUAGGGAAGAAGCGAAAGUGACGGUACCUGCAGAAGAAGCGCCGGCUAACUACGUGCCAGCAGCCGCGGUAAUACGUAGGGCGCAAGCGUUAUCCGGAAUUAUUGGGCGUAAAGAGCUCGUAGGCGGUUUGUCGCGUCUGCCGUGAAAGUCCGGGGCUCAACUCCGGAUCUGCGGUGGGUACGGGCAGACUAGAGUGAUGUAGGGGAGACUGGAAUUCCUGGUGUAGCGGUGAAAUGCGCAGAUAUCAGGAGGAACACCGAUGGCGAAGGCAGGUCUCUGGGCCAUUAACUGACGCUGAGGAGCGAAAGCAUGGGGAGCGAACAGGAUUAGAUACCCUGGUAGUCCAUGCCGUACACGUUGGGCACUAGGUGGUGGGGGACAUUCCACGUUUUCCGCGCCGUAGCUAACGCAUUAAGUGCCCCGCCCG